rnacentral:rRNA from 1 species
GUGUGAAUUGCAGAAUUCCGCGAAUCAUCGAGUCUUUGAACGCAAGUUGCGCCCGAGGCUUGACCAAGGGCAUUUCUGCCAGAGCGUCACCGCGACACCCACCAAACACACUUUUUCCUUCCAAGUGAAAGUGUGUUCGAGUGAAAGUGGCCAUCCGAAUGCGGCCGCGCCCAAGUGGCGCGGAAGAUUGGGUUGGCUGAAAUAGAGCGGGAUUUGGCCGCCGUGUUGACCCUACAACCAGCGAUCAGGUGAUCUAGGUGCAAACUUUGAACUCAAACGUGCGCUGGUUGCCAUCAUCCAGUUGGCCGGACCCAAAACCUAGCAGGUCUCCUACUUCCGGCACUCCGGCCGGCCCAAAAUGCCGCCGAUACCGGAAAAAUAGGAGGGACCCUAACCCGUCCACCGUCACGCAUCAGACCUCUGAUCAGAAAAGACUACCCGCUGAGUUUAA